GACGAACGCUGGCGGCGUGCUUAACACAUGCUUUUCGAACGGAAAGGCCCUGCUUUUGUGGGGUGCUCGAGUGGCGAACGGGUGAGUAACACGUGAGUAACCUGCCCUUGACUUUGGGAUAACUUCAGGAAACUGGGGCUAAUACCGGAUAGGAGCUCCUGCUGCAUGGUGGGGGUUGGAAAGUUUCGGCGGUUGGGGAUGGACUCGCGGCUUAUCAGCUUGUUGGUGGGGUAGUGGCUUACCAAGGCUUUGACGGGUAGCCGGCCUGAGAGGGUGACCGGCCACAUUGGGACUGAGAUACGGCCCAGACUCCUACGGGAGGCAGCAGUGGGGAAUAUUGCACAAUGGGCGGAAGCCUGAUGCAGCAACGCCGCGUGCGGGAUGACGGCCUUCGGGUUGUAAACCGCUUUCGCCUGUGACGAAGCGUGAGUGACGGUAAUGGGUAAAGAAGCACCGGCUAACUACGUGCCAGCAGCCGCGGUGAUACGUAGGGUGCGAGCGUUGUCCGGAUUUAUUGGGCGUAAAGGGCUCGUAGGUGGUUGAUCGCGUCGGAAGUGUAAUCUUGGGGCUUAACCCUGAGCGUGCUUUCGAUACGGGUUGACUUGAGGAAGGUAGGGGAGAAUGGAAUUCCUGGUGGAGCGGUGGAAUGCGCAGAUAUCAGGAGGAACACCAGUGGCGAAGGCGGUUCUCUGGGCCUUUCCUGACGCUGAGGAGCGAAAGCGUGGGGAGCGAACAGGCUUAGAUACCCUGGUAGUCCACGCUGUAAACGGUGGGUACUAGGUGUGGGGUCCAUUCCACGGGUUCCGUGCCGUAGCUAACGCUUUAAGUACCCCGCCUGGGGAGUACGGCCGCAAGGCUAAAACUCAAAGGAAUUGACGGGGCCCCGCACAAGCGGCGGAGCAUGCGGAUUAAUUCGAUGCAACGCGUAGAACCUUACCUGGGUUUGACAUGGAUCGGGAGUGCUCAGAGAUGGGUGUGCCUCUUUUGGGGUCGGUUCACAGGUGGUGCAUGCCUGUCGUCAGCUCGUGUCGUGAGAUGUUGGGUUAAGUCCCGCAACGAGCGCAACCCUUGUUCACUGUUGCCAGCACGUUAUGGUGGGGACUCAGUGGAGACCGCCGGGGUCAACUCGGAGGAAGGUGGGGAUGACGUCAAGUCAUCAUGCCCCUUAUGUCCAGGGCUUCACGCAUGCUACAAUGGCUGGUACAGAGAGUGGCGAGCCUGUGAGGGUGAGCGAAUCUCGGAAAGCCGGUCUCAGUUCGGAUUGGGGUCUGCAACUCGACCUCAUGAAGUCGGAGUCGCUAGUAAUCGCAGAUCAGCAACGCUGCGGUGAAUAAAUUCCCGGGGCU
rnacentral:rRNA from 1 species